AUGAUUCCUGUGUGCCACAUGCUCUGUUCUGUCACCACCAAUGGUGCAUUCCAAUCCUGGCCAGUUGACAGAAAAACAUGCUCUACAGCCCCCACAGCUCUCACCCUAAAACUUUCAAGGGAACCUUCAUCCUUGAUUGCUUGCUGCAUGAGGAAGCCUUCAACAGGAACCCGAUUGCUGCCAGGUUUCCAAAGUUUGGAGCCCCUGGAGAUGAGCACUGGAAGGAUAUUAGCCACUGGAACACCGCCGAAAAUCUUCGGCAUGGACAUAGGGUACAUCUGGUCAGCCUCGCUGGAUGCUACCAUCUCUCCCAGGGACUCCCUUCUACCGUUCUUGUCAACAGUCCUUGGGUACUUCAUCAUUGCUGGAUCUAUCGUCACCAAGCUCCCUCAGAUACUAAAGAUUUUGAAGCAUGGAAGUGUUAGAGGACUUAGUGUAGCCUCCUUUGAGCUUGAGCUCAUUGGCUACACAAUUGCUCUGGCAUAUUGUAUUCAUAAAGGACUGCCCUUUUCAGCUUAUGGAGAGCUAGCUUUUCUGCUGAUUCAAGCAAUUAUCUUGAUUGGAAUCAUUUACUAUUACUCGCCACCAAUGGGAACCAAAACAUGGAUGAAAGCUUUGAUAUAUUGUGGACUAGCUCCGACUGUUUUGGCUGGAAAAAUUGAUCCGGGUCUUUUUGAAAUCCUUUAUGCUUCACAGCAUGCCAUCUUCUUUUGUGCUAGAGUACCGCAGAUCUGGAAAAAUUUCACAAAUAAGAGCACUGGCGAGCUGAGCUUCCUGACUUCUUUCAUGAACUUCGCUGGUUCCCUUGUAAGAGUUUUUACCAGCAUCCAGGAGAAGACUCCGUUAAGUGUACUUAUGGGCUCUGUAAUCGGCAUCGUGACAAACGGUACGAUCCUGGGUCAGAUAGCGAUGUACCAAAAGCCUGCGCCGAAGAAAGGGAAGAAAGAAGAGUAA
rnacentral:rRNA from 1 species